UGAGAGCUCUCAUUUGUCCUGGGGU
rnacentral:miRNA from 1 species